rnacentral:misc_RNA from 1 species
AUCUAUCUCUGAAACUGGGGAGUUUGAAUCUUCUUCAGAUUCAAGUAAAUCAAAGAGUGCUAUGGUUGCAAAAGGAAAAGGCACUCUUCAGAGCACUGGAAGGGGAUCAGUUCUCUAUGGCGGAGCUCAGGUUAUGGGUGCACCUGGAAGCAUGGGUGGUGGUGAUCAGAACUUCCCUACAACACCAGCCUUUUUGCCAGUCAUGCAAUUUGGCGGCCAGCACCGUGGUGGCAUUCCUGCUGUUGGCAUGGCUUUUCCUGGAUAUGUUGGUCAGCCACAACUUGGUUUAGGGAAUUCUGAGAUGACAUGGUUGCCAGUUUUAGCUGGAGCUGCUGGAGCAUUAGGUGCAACAUACUGUUCGCCAUAUAUUGCUAUGGAUGGUGCCUAUCAUGCUCGUCCAUCUGGGCAAAUAUCUUCUCUCACUGCUGCUCCAAGCAAAGAGAACAGUGCCAGUAAGCCAAAUAAUGAAAGCAAUCCCCAACAGCGACUAGAGCUCUCAAAUGAUGACUUAGGCCAGCGCCAGAAGAAUCCUCGCAGAUAUACGGAGAUGAAGUUCGAUCAGUGAGCUUGUUUGUAGGUUGGAGCUGUUUGAAUAAGCAGAUUAAGGCCCUCUCCUAGACCCUAUGUUCUCCAAGUGUUGCUCUGGAGUAUCUAGGGUUCUCAUGUGUUGUGAUGUAUUUUAGGUUUACAUGACAAACGCCUGCUCAUGCUGCUUCACUUUCGGGGAUACACUGCAGCUUGACGGGUGGCAGUUAUUUGUUUAAAUAUAUGGUUCUUGUGGCUUGGGGUUUUUGUAACUGAAGGAAGUAAAAGAUGUUGAUAGAGUUUCUUCAAAUGGUGAUGGAAAAUAAUGGUAACAGUCCGGAAGCAGUUGCAUCUGUUUUCUUAUUAUGUGAAGUUUUUUGUCUUCUGAGUAGAUGGCUCUAGUGUCUUUUAAAGUUUUUCUGUUGAGCCACUACUGUUUGGUCGAUAUUUUCUGGGCUUUGUAGUUAAAUAUUAUGUUAACAAGAGAGCGUGUCUUGCUCAGACAUUGAAUAAUAAAUUUUUGUUUUAAA